UGGGGCCAGGUAUAACUGUGGGUUACUGUCGUGGUAGGCUACCAUAUCUGGUGUGUGUAUCCUGAUGUGAGUGUUUCCUUGCCAAAAUCCAACAUUGACAAUCUCAAGGACAUGGUCAAU